UGCUGAGGCUGGGGCGUCUCUGAAGUGCGCUCUGCCGCCCACUCUGGCCAGCCCCAGGACCCUCACCGCUCAUUAGAACUGUGUUCUGAGCGCCAGCUCUAGGGCAAGCCCGUUUUACAAACCGGUCAGCCUAUACUCUGCCCUGCCGACUGUCAGGCCUGCACCUCUGCCCAGCGACCUGCGCUGCCACCCAAGCACCCUCUUCCAGAUUCCAGCGACAGACCCGGCCUUUGGAGAUCAGGAGCAACAAUUGUUCCCUACUAACUCCGAGUCUUCCUCCUGCCCCACCAGAUUGCUACAGGGGCCCAUUGUGCCUGGCAGCCCAAUUGUUGACAUUUCUCCUAUGCAGCAGUUUUGCACACCUGUCAUCUUUGUUUCAAAAUUGCAGCAGUCCCAUAGAGGUGUGCAUUUGGACAAAAAUACUAAAAACUGAACAAUACAAACAAAAGCAGGUACUCAGCCCAGCUCCUCAAUGCUACCUGGAAAAAGCAUUUGCAUUCUUUUCAAUAAAUUACAAGCACUACCAAAAAAACCCAAAAAGUGUCUUUUGAUGGUUAAGGGCUAUCAUUGGCCUUUGCCACUUUCACCCUGACUCUCAUUAUUCCCACUGGUAUCAGGGAAUCUAGUUCAACUUUCAAUCUCUGUACUCCCCACUGUCACGGCUAAGCUCCAGAGGACGGUUACCACAGGGCUUUAUGGGGAAACUGGUACUACCCCCACCAACGCCUUUCUUAUAGCCCUGGUGAAGGGAAUGUUCUCUGGUUCUUCUGAGGUGGCAUGGGUAAGGGGUGGCUGAGCAGGCAGGUGGCACACCAUCCCAAACUGGGACACUUUUGAGAGAGCUUCAAGGGGACACUAUUAAUAAUUAGACUGGAACAACAAGUCGGGACACACAGUAUUUCUAUCUUUGUGAGCUUUGGGGUUCUUCCUCAACAUGGUCAGAGAUGUUCUGCCCCUUAACUCUUAGUGCCUGUGGAGUGCUAUUGAUUUCAGGGUGUAGCACAUUGUUUUAAUACCCCUUUUAGAUGCUUGAGCUAACAUUAAAUCCCAGAUCCUGGAUAAAUGUGCACAUACUAAAUGGAGCCUGAUUUGAACGUUUCAUCUUCCUUAGGCAGAUCCCCUUAGAAUUCCCACCCAUCAAUGUGCCCCAGAUUCCUGCCUGAAGGAACUGACAAGAUUCCUAGAUCUUGUACUGCUAUCUGAGCUAUGCUGAGAUCUGUUUGUGGGCCCAGAGGGCUCAGAGGCACUGAGGGAGUGGGGUGAGUGUUGAAAAGAAACUGCAUACCUUUGUGAGGCAAUUACCCAGUUAAGUCACUGCAGUGUUAAGUCAGGGAAACUUGGUCCCGGGGUUUGUGGGGGCUGUCUCUGCCAGCCAGGAGGAUUUGAGCUGUUCUGAGUUCUUAUCUGUAUCUGCUCCAAUGUCUUCAUUGUACCAUGUAUGGAGCCAGCCCUACCUUAGAACUUCUAAUUCAGGUAAUGAAUGUCCUUGUUUAAGACCUUUCGAAGCUAAGUGUUCUUUUAUUUGUACUGGUAAACCUCACAGUGUGGGUUAAAUGAGAUCCUGAUCAUUCUCCUGGGUACUUUAUGGGUGUGGAUUCAGUGAAAUCACACCCAUGAGAUAGUUUAAACUGUCCCUGCUACACCGUGAGCACUCAAUAAACUUGGGCUCUUACUCUUAGGCCUGGGAACCGAAGCAUCAUUCCAGAAACAGAUCUCUUGCUAUGGCCUUGGUCUCAGUAGGAAAAUGCCAGGAGUCUUUUGGAGCAGGGUAGGCUCAGGGAUAGUGGAAAUGGGAGCAGCAUCAGACUUUGUUUACUCUUUUGGAUCUGGCAUGAAGUCAGAUAAAAAGCCAGUUUACAGUUACUUUGGUGAACAGGCAAAGUCCAGAGCAAGAGUCAUUUUUCCAGCCUAAGCAGGUUGUUUCUGGAGGGUGUGAGAGGGGUAGAUAAUGAUGUAGCAGAGGAGGUUGAGGCCCAUCCUGGGGGUGGAUGUGGGAAAGUGCUGGUCAAGAGCUGAGAGCUGAAUGAGACCCAGUGAAACCAAAAAUCAGUCAUCCGAAGUAAUCAGUGGCCUGGGUAGACUUAGAGGAUAAAGAGAUAUGGUGGUCAAAGAAAGGUAGUUCUUGGCCUCAUAGUGAUUCCAAUUUGUUGCUUUUAUGGUGCCUUAGACCAAAAUUAGGAUGAUACCUUGCUACAGGUAAGGUUCAGAAAGAGAAUCUAAACUGAUUAUAUUUGAGGGUGACCUUUUCAGGGUGUAAGUUGAAGGCAUGAAUAGAUGAGAUCUCCUCCCUACCACCAAACCAAGUGAGUCCUUUCUUCUCAUGGGGAAGUAAGGGGUCUCUGGUCAGUGAAGAUGCCAACGCAGUGCCUGAGUAGCACUCAUGACAGCUCUCAUUCUAGGAGCUUCUGGAAUCUGAAAUGCACACAUCCUGGGCAUGUAGGCAUGGGUGUGAGCUGACUCUGUGUGUGUGAGUUAGUGUCCUUCAUAUGUCAUGGAGGAGCAGGUUAUGCUGUGAGCUGCAGAGAGGGGCAGUGUUAAGAAUCUGGCUACCUUGGGGGCAGAUUCUGCAAUAAAAGCAUCAAUACUAGCAAGGGCCUGCCUCCCAUGGGAGGAAUUCGUGAUAGUUUGAUUGUAGCAUAAGCCCAGCAGAAGAGAAUGGAGAAGCAGAUAAGCACAUCUGAAGAUAGUGUCACCACUCAGAUGGAAACUAUUAAAAGUAGGUGAAAAUGUUGAAAUAGCAAGUAUGAACUUCAGACUCCUGAAUUCCCAUCACACUGGACUUGAAAAGGUCACUGAAGUUAUGUUGUUAAUGAAAUCAACCAUAUUGUAGAUUAUACUCAUGGAAUCAUAUUGAAUCUUCCAAAGUAUGAUUGAAUUUCUCUAAUCACUUGAGUAGGUAAGCAGUGCCAUCCAUUAAUCUUGUGUUAUUGUGUUUUGCAGGAUGGUAUGUAAAACUAGAGGUACAUUAUGCACAUUAUGUUUGGUUAUUUUCUGUUAUUAUAACAGUGAUUUGGAAGUAGAGGGAGAUGUCUUUUUUAAAUUAGUGGUGUAUUUAUUUUUUCAGUAAAUGAAUUUAAAUAAUUUUUUA
rnacentral:lncRNA from 1 species